UACGUAGGGGGCAAGCGUUGUCCGGAUUUAUUGGGCGUAAAGAGCGUGUAGGCGGCCAAAUAGGUCGGUUGUGAAAACUGGAGGCUUAACCUCCAGACGUCGACCGAAACCAUCUGGCUAGAGUCCGGAAGAGGAGAGUGGAAUUCCUGGUGUAGCGGUGAAAUGCGCAGAUAUCAGGAGGAACACCGGUGGCGAAGGCGGCUUGCUGGGCCAGUUCUGACGCUGAGGAGCGAAAGCGUGGGGAGCGAACGGG
rnacentral:rRNA from 1 species